GAAACCCCGUCUCUACUCAAAAUACAAAAAAUUAGUCGGGCGUGGUGAUGGGCACCUGUAAUCCUAGCUACUCGGGAGGCUGAGGCAUGAUGAUCGCUUGAACCUGGGAGGCAGAGGUUGUCGUGAGCUGAGAUUUUGCCACUGCACACCAGCCCGGGAAACAGUGCGAGACUCCGUCUUAACAUGAAAAACAUGAACAGCCGCUACUAUCUGAGGGCAAUUUUUUGUCUUUAUACUUUGGCAUGUAUAUUAUUUCUACAAAUAAUUUUAAAGGCCAGGUGCGGUGGCUCACGCCUGUAAUCUCAGCACUUUGG
rnacentral:lncRNA from 1 species